rnacentral:lncRNA from 1 species
AUCUGUGUACGUAUUCAUUCUCGAAUUGUGAAGAUAUGAUGGCUCAGAUACAGAAGGUUGUAGUGACGUAUCAAAGACAUUUAUGGAAAAAGAAAUGAUUGUAGAGUAAGGUAGGGUAUCUAAUGUGUAUAAGAAUAAAGUUAGAGGAAGUGCUCACUAGAGGCAAAGUUAAAGGUUAUGAGUGAUAAGAUUGUCAUUAUGAUUUCAUAGUUACAAUGUGUAAGUAUUACCC